rnacentral:rRNA from 1 species
GACGAACGCUGGCGGCGUGCUUAACACAUGCAAGUCGAACGAAGAGCGACGGAAGCUUGCUUCUAUCAGUCUGAGUGGCGAACGGGUGAGUAACGCGUAAUCAACCUGCCCUUCAGAGGGGGACAACAGUUGGAAACGACUACUAAUACUGCAUACGAUCUAAUCUCGGCAUCGAGUAUGGAUGAAAGGUGGCCUCGACAUGUAAGCUAUCACUGAAGGAGGUGAUUGCGUCUGAUUAGCUCGUUGGAGUGGUAACGGCGCACCAAGGCGAUGAUCAGUAGUCGGACUGAGAGGACGGACGGCCGCAUUGAGACGGAGACCGGGCCCAGACUGCUUCGGGAGGCAGCAGUGGGGAUUCUUCAGCCAUCGACGAGAGACUGACGGCGCAACGCCGCGUCAGUGAUGACGGCCUUCGGGUUGUAAAGCUCGGUUAAUCGGGAGGAAAGGCCUUCUUGCGAUUAGGGAGAAGGAUUGACGGUAACGGGAUAGAAAGCCACGGCUAACUACGUG